GUAGUCAUACGCUCGUCUCAAAAGAUUAAGCCAUGCAUGUGUAAGUGUAAAUAUCAAAGUUUGGAACUGCGAAUGGCUCAUUAUAUCAGUUAUAGUUUAUUUGGUGAAGUGUACUACUUGGAUAACCGUAGUAAUUCUAGGGCUAAUACAUGAGAAAGUCCUCUGGUGAGGUGUGUUUAUUAGAAUGAAAACCAUAUGCUUCGGCAUGAUAGUGAGUAAUAGUAACCUAUCGUAUCGCAUGCUUAAUGUAGCGAUGAGUCUUUCAAGUUUCUGCCCUAUCAGCUUUCGAUGGUAGUAUAUGGGCCUACCAUGGCAGUAACGGGUAACGAAGAAUUUGGGUUCGAUUUCGGAGAGGGAGCCUGAGAGAUGGCUACC
rnacentral:rRNA from 1 species